GAUGAAGAACGCAGCGAAAUGCGAUAAGUAAUGUGAAUUGCAGAAUUCAGUGAAUCAUCGAAUCUUUGAACGCACAUUGCGCCCGCCAGUAUUCUGGCGGGCAGGCCUGUCUGAGCGUCAUUUCAACCCUCAUGCCCCUAGGGCGUGGUGUUGGGGAUCGGCCAAAGCCCGCGAGGGACGGCCGGCCCCUAAAUCUAGUGGCGGACCCGUCGUGGCCUCCUCUGCGAAGUAGUGAUAUUCCGCAUCGGAGAGCGAUGAGCCCCUGCCGUUAAACCCCCAACUUUCCAAGGUUGACCUCAGAUCAGGUAGGAAUACCCGCUGAACUUAAGCAUAUCAAUAAGCGGAGGA
rnacentral:misc_RNA from 1 species